rnacentral:rRNA from 1 species
AACGAACGCUGGCGGCGCGCCUAAUACAUGCAAGUCGAGCGAGAAGACGUAGCAAUACGUUUGUAAAGCGGCGAACGGGUGAGGAAUACAUGGGUAACCUACCCUCGAGUGGGGAAUAACUAGCCGAAAGGUUAGCUAAUACCGCGUACGCUCCUUGGACUUCGGUUCAGGGAGGAAAGCGAUACCGUGGGUAUCGCGCUCUUGGAUGGGCUCAUGUCCUAUCAGCUUGUUGGGAGGUAACGGCUCACCAAGGCUUCGACGGGUAGCUGGUCUGAGAGGACGAUCAGCCA